rnacentral:tRNA from 1 species
GCCGAAGUGGUGGAAUUGGUAGACACGCUAUCUUGAGGGGGUAGUGGGUUAUGCUCGUGCCGGUUCAAGUCCGGCCUUCGGCACCA